CGCGCCUGGUAUCAAGGUCGACAAGGGUCUUGUGCCACUUGCUGGCUCCAACGACGAGUCAUGGUGCCAAGGUCUUGAUGGCCUUGCUUCACGUGAAGCAGCCUACUACCAGGCUGGUGCCCGCUUCGCCAAGUGGCGCACUGUUGUCAGCAUCCCCAACGGUCCAUCUGAACUUGCCGUGAAGGAAGCUGCCUGGGGCCUUGCCCGCUACGCCGCCAUUUCUCAGGAGAACGGCCCGGUGCCAAUUGUGGAGCCUGAAAUCCUUCUUGACGGCCUGGUGCCCCGCCGC